rnacentral:pre_miRNA from 1 species
GUCGACGUUUCGGCCUGAGACAGACCUUUUUCGAACCUCGGGGUUUUCUAGACCUUAUUCGAGACUCGAAAAAGGUCUGUCUCAGGCCGAAACGUCGA